AAUCUUCACAGAGCUUCCAGCUUGUAAUACUGAGUACAUGAGAAUAGUGGCAGAUUUGUCACUUUUUCUUAGUGUGCUUUUUAGAAGUACAUGAAUAACAAUAGUAUAAUAUUGUGGAGAAAAAGAUGUUUUACAGUGUACUGGUUGCAGAAGGAAUGGCUGACUUUUAUCUCUCUUGAUGAGCUUUACUUUUGGGUGGGUUCCCAAAUACAUUGCUGAGGAGCCAAAUGGUAGAAAUGUAGAGCCUAUCCAAGAGCACUUGUUUGACAGAUUGGCAGAUUUUGUGGCACAUUUUCUUCUUGUUCCCAGGGAUGCUAAAGAUGCUUUUUCUCAGGUUAAAUGCUUAGGAAAAGAUGGAGAGCUGUCUCUUGUGUCUGUUAACAUUAAGGAGAGGAGGUUUGGAACAUGCUGUACUCAGAAAUCCUGAAUUAAUGAGGUCCUGUGCAAUGGAGCAGUUUCUGUGAGAUGUGAGUGGCUGUUGUAGAUGGCUGCUUUGACCACAGGAAUUGUAUUUCCCUUCUGAACCCCAGUCUGGACAGACUGUGUAGUGUCAGUGGGAAACAAAGAAAAAAGCUCCAGGAGAGCCAAAGCCUCUGAAGGGAGAGCAAGGAAAUGACACUUGACCUUGGCUUUUAUAAGCCCCUUUGCUUGGGUUUUCUUAAACUUAUAAUAUUAUACAGAUUAGUAAUGAGCCAUUUCCAGAAAGGUGUAUCAGUUUCUUUAUGUAUAAAUAUAUUUUCCUCCUACAUGGUAUAUUGUAUGUUGAUGUUAAGAUUGCAUUGGAUUGUGAUGCAAUUGAUGUAAGAGGCUUUUGUGAGGAUUUCUGACAUCUUUCUGAAUUGCUGUUAAAAUGUAAUUCUUAUUAUCCUUGUCUUUUAAUAGUUUGCUACUGGAGAUCAUUACUGUAAAUUUUCUGAUUAUUAUUCUCUGGUUUUAGCACUAAACUGUUUUUUUCCGAGUCAGUAUUUGAGAAUAGAUUUUCUAAGAAAAAGAUACAUUGAAAAUUACUCAGUUGUAAGGACUAUGAGUGUGGUACUGACAAAUUGCAGCAUUUUCAGUCAGGUGUCUUUCUGGGAACAAUUCACUCACAGAACACAUUUCAGUUAUGAAAGCUGUAAAACAUAAAGCAGCCUUGGUUUACUUGAAAAUGGUGAUAACAUAGUGAUUCAUUAUAUAAAGCAUUUAGCAGUAAUUUGGAUUCAGGAUUUUUUUGACUGUAUUUUUAUAUUCUUGAAUUACAUAAUCAGAAGUUUGAUUCAAAGAGCCUUUGUAAGAUUUGGUUGUAAGAUUUUUUACAUAUAUAUUUAUGUAUUAAUGUGCACACAUACAUAUUAAUUAAAACUUCAGUAAAGCUUUUAAACACAAACAAUCCUAAUGGGGUUUUUAUUUUCAUUUUUAUUUCAAAGCUUCCACUAACCUAGUUUAGAUAUAGAAACUUCUAGCAUGUUAAUGUUGAUCAUAAGUUUGAUAAAAUCAAACAGUUUCACUGUUUAAAUAUUCACAGAAAGUAGUGCAGAGAGGUACCAGCAAAAAAGCUUCUUUUGUAGCACAGUCUGUUGUGUUCAGUGAACAAGUGAUAAACUAGCAAAAGCACAGUGAAGGUUUACUGAUAGAGUUGUACUGACAGGGUUUUUUUGCAUGGAUCUGUUUAUAUCUUCUUUGAUUUUUGACUUGCCAAUAUCAUAAUUGAUUUUCAAAUGGCACUAUUUGUUAAAAAAGAUUUUUUUAAAAAAAUAAAUAUUUGUCAAAGAAAACUGUUGCCA
ensembl:lncRNA